UUGAACGCUGGCGGCAUGCCUUACACAUGCAAGUCGAACGGCAGCACGGGAGCAAUCCUGGUGGCGAGUGGCGAACGGGUGAGUAAUAUAUCGGAACGUGCCCAGUCGUGGGGGAUAACGCAGCGAAAGCUGUGCUAAUACCGCAUACGAUCCAUGGAUGAAAGCGGGGGACUCGCAAGGGCCUCGCGCGAUUGGAGCGGCCGAUAUCAGAUUAGCUAGUUGGCGGGGUAAAGGCCCACCAAGGCGACGAUCUGUAGCUGGUCUGAGAGGACGACCAGCCACACUGGAACUGAGACACGGUCCAGACUCCUACGGGAGGCAGCAGUGGGGAAUUUUGGACAAUGGGCGCAAGCCUGAUCCAGCAAUGCCGCGUGCAGGAUGAAGGCCUUCGGGUUGUAAACUGCUUUUGUACGGAGCGAAACGGUCUGCUUUAAUACAGUGGGCUAAUGACGGUACCGUAAGAAUAAGCACCGGCUAACUACGUGCCAGCAGCCGCGGUAAUACGUAGGGUGCGAGCGUUAAUCGGAAUUACUGGGCGUAAAGCGUGCGCAGGCGGUUAUAUAAGACAGACGUGAAAUCCCCGGGCUCAACCUGGGACCUGCACUUGUGACUGUAUAGCUAGAGUACGGUAGAGGGGGAUGGAAUUCCGCGUGUAGCAGUGAAAUGCGUAGAUAUGCGGAGGAACACCGAUGGCGAAGGCAAUCCCCUGGACCUGUACUGACGCUCAUGCACGAAAGCGUGGGGAGCAAACA
rnacentral:rRNA from 1 species